AUGCCACUUGUCCAGCCAGCUACCAACAACAGGGAGGGAGAGGAGGCUGCCUGGUGAAGCUCUGUGAGGGACACGGGGCUGUCAGCCUGUCCCACUGAACUCCUGGAGCAGUCACUGGUCUCUUAUUAAACUACCUCUGCCGUUUUCUAAAGUGGAAGCACAUUUUCAAAUAAAGAAGAAAGGAACUGUAAGCCAGACCAGACAAGAGAUCUCGAGUUUAUUGCUCCUGGAAGAGGAGACACAGGUGGACUGCAGACAGACAGAAGAGCAGAAGGACAGCUGGCGCCCGAGGCGUCGUGAAGCCCAGCCCACAGCGCGCGGCCCUCCUGAGCACCGGGCUGUGUGGAGAAGGGACACACAUGAAGACUGCCCCGGGCGCCCAUGGAGUUGGCAGACCUGAUCCUGGGUACCCAGCCUGGGGCGCGGGAACCCAGGACAGGCCACGGUCGAGGCGCUGGGCGUGGUGAGCACAUGUCGCCAGGCCCGGGCCCACCCCCUGCCGGCUCCAGCCUGGUCCUGGCAGCUGUGGGGCGUGAGUCAGCAGGCCGAGCUGCUCACCUCCACACUCCAGCCCACGCCUCCCUUGAGGUACAGCCGGCUGCGGGAGGGUGGCCAACGCCAUGAAGCAGGGCGCCUGGGCCAACUGGCUCAGGGGACUGGUGGGUGUCCGGCCUGCCCACUGAAAGCUUAUCAGAGCCCUGGUCCUCCUGUGAGCCACGGGGCCUUUGCUCUCUGGCUCAAGGUCAAUACUUUUUUUUUUUUUUUUUUUAAUCUUGAAACUGAAACACUAAAAACGCCAGCUCUGCAGGUUUUACUAACAGAAGUCCCAGCCCUGCUCAGGGUGUCACUGAACCUGGGUUGCUGCUCCCAUGGCACCUUUGCAGAGCAGAGGGACUAUGUACCCUUCAGUGACCACCCUGUCAAGUGCGGACCUCGACUGCUGCCCCAGUGUCUCCUUUCAGAAGGCAAAACCAUGAGGAGAGGGCUGCCCCACGGAGCAUCUCAUUAAAUGAGGGCCGCGUA